rnacentral:rRNA from 1 species
AGAUUGAACGCUGGCGGCAUGCCUUACACAUGCAAGUCGAACGGCAGCACGGGUGCUUGCACCUGGUGGCGAGUGGCGAACGGGUGAGUAAUACAUCGGAACAUGUCCUGUAGUGGGGGAUAGCCCGGCGAAAGCCGGAUUAAUACCGCAUACGAUCUUUGGAUGAAAGCGGGGGACCUUCGGGCCUCGCGCUAUAGGGUUGGCCGAUGGCUGAUUAGCUAGUUGGUGGGGUAAAGGCCUACCAAGGCGACGAUCAGUAGCUGGUCUGAGAGGACGACCAGCCACACUGGGACUGAGACACGGCCCAGACUCCUACGG